rnacentral:rRNA from 1 species
GAACGCUGGCGGCGUGCUUAACACAUGCAAGUCGAACGUGAUUUUUGUGGAAAUUCUUUCGGGAAUGGAAAUGAAAUGAAAGUGGCGAACGGGUGAGUAACACGUGAGCAACCUACCUUACACAGGGGGAUAGCCGUUGGAAACGACGAUUAAUACCGCAUGAGACCACAGAAUCGCAUGAUAUAGGGGUCAAAGAUUUAUCGGUGUAAGAAGGGCUCGCGUCUGAUUAGCUAGUUGGAAGGGUAAAGGCCUACCAAGGCGACGAUCAGUAGCCGGUCUGAGAGGAUGAACGGCCACAUUGGAACUGAGACACGGUCCAAACUCCUACGGGAGGCAGCAGUGGGGAAUAUUGCACAAUGGGGGGAACCCUGAUGCAGCGACGCCGCGUGAGCGAAGAAGGUUUUCGAAUCGUAAAGCUCUGUCCUAUGAGAAGAUAAU